GACGAACGCUGGCGGCGUGCUUAACACAUGCAAGUCGAACGGAAAGGCCCUGCUUUUGUGGGGUGCUCGAGUGGCGAACGGGUGAGUAGCACGUGAGUAACCUGCCCUUGACUUUGGGAUAACUUCAGGAAACUGGGGCUAAUACCGGAUAGGAGCUCCUGCUGCAUGGUGGGGGUUGGAAAGUUUCGGCGGUUGGGGAUGGACUCGCGGCUCAUCAGCUUGUUGGUGGGGUAGUGGCUUACCAAGGCUUUGACGGGUAGCCGGCCUGAGAGGGUGACCGGCCACAUUGGGACUGAGAUGCGGCCCAGACUCCUCCGGGAGGCAGCAGUGGGGAAUAUUGCACAAUGGGCGGAAGCCUGAUGCAGCAACGCCGCGUGCGGGAUGACGGCCUUCGGGUUGUAAACCGCUUUCGCCUGUGACGAAGCGUGAGUGACGGUAAUGGGUAAAGAAGCACCGGCUAACUACGUG
rnacentral:rRNA from 1 species